rnacentral:misc_RNA from 1 species
AGGGAUUAGGUUGGCAGCGGUAGACGCAGUACAGGAAACAUCGAAUUAACGUGAACGUCCUUUCGCGUCGCUGCACACUUCCGUUUCGCCAUCUUUUACCUCAGAAACGUGCGGUUCGCGUCGUAUCGCGUGUGUAUCACGCUGUUUUAGCAGUUUUAGCAGUUUUAGCGGUUUUAUCGACUACUGACUUGGUUCUACGAGCCGCAAAAUGCCGGGUUUUAGCAGCGUUGGUACGUUUAAAAUCUUCAUUGGUAAUUUAGCCGACAAGACCUCGAACGCGGAUAUAAAGCCACUGUUCGAGAAAUACGGCAAGGUCGUGGAAUGCGACGUGGUAAAGAAUUAUGGCUUUGUGCAUAUGGAAAAUGAGGAAGCAGGGAGAAACGCCAUACAGAAUCUGAAUGGACAUAUGGUCCAUGGACAGCCGAUAAAGUGCGAGGCCGCAAAGAGUCGUAAGGGUCCCAACACUCCUACGACAAAGAUCUUUGUCGGCAAUCUCACAGAUAACACGAAGGCGCCGCAAGUGCGCGAACUGUUUGCCAAAUAUGGCACGGUCGUGGAAUGCGACAUUGUAAGGAACUACGGUUUCGUCCAUCUUGAAGCGACGGGCGACGUGAAUGAUGCCAUCAAGGAGUUGAACGGGCAGAUCGUGGACGGGCAGCCGAUGAAGGUCCAGAUAUCUACCAGCCGGGUGCGACAGAGGCCAGGAAUGGGUGAUCCGGAACAAUGCUAUCGAUGUGGACGAGGCGGUCACUGGUCCAAAGAGUGUCCCAAGGGAGGUAUGGGAGGUGGGCCAGACAGAAAUGGAUACAGAGAUCGAAUGUUUGGACGCGACCCGUAUCCUCCACCGCCACCGCCACCUUUCCUUCGGGACCGUCUCAUGGGUGGUGGCCGCUUUGGAGACUACGAAAGCUACUACGACCGGCGGGGCUUCGAGGACACCAGGGAUCUCUACGAGAGGCGGUUUACGGGUAUGGGAUCCAUGCGUGACACUGGCUUCUCCCGUGGUAACGAGUAUGGCAUGUUCAGCCGCCGAUCGCCCCCUCCAAGUGGCAACAACGGCCGGUUCAGUGCACCUCAGGCGUACCAUCUUUGUCCAUGAACGCGGGCAACCCUAGAGAGACAGUCCCGGGUCAGCGUUCAAGUCGUACAAGAAACAAUUGGCACUGCGGAUGAGGUGGUUGCACACGAGCUAACAUAUAGCGCGAAUAAGUCGCUUCAUCACGCAUACACGGACAUGGAAUAUUAAUUCUCUCUCUAUAUAUGUGUGUAUAAAACGGGAAAAUAUUGGUAUGAAAAGAUAUCGGAUUCCAAUAAGCCUGUUAUAUAUCCAUCCUCGCCUUAAUAUACGAGAUGAGAUCCUGUUUUA